GGGGCGGUGGCGUAGUUGGGAGCGCGUCAGACUGAAGCUAUAACUUCAAUCAUUAAUAUCUGAAGGUCACCGGUUCGAUCCCGGUUCACCCCA
rfam:Nectria haematococca mpVI 77-13-4 chromosome 1 genomic scaffold NECHAsca_1_chr1_3_0, whole genome shotgun sequence.